rnacentral:tRNA from 1 species
AAUGAGAUGCCUGAGUAAUAAGGGUUAUUUUGAUGUAAUAAAUUAAGUGAAUUUUCACCCUCAUUA